rnacentral:rRNA from 1 species
UACGGAGGGUGCAAGCGUUAUCCGGAUUCACUGGGUUUAAAGGGUGCGUAGGCGGGCAGGUAAGUCAGUGGUGAAAUCUCCGGACUUAACCCGGAACUGCCGUUGAUACUAUCUGUCUUGAAUAUCGUGGAGGUAAGCGGAAUAUGUCAUGUAGCGGUGAAAUGCUUAGAUAUGACAUAGAACACCCAUUGCGAAGGCAGCUUACUACACGAUCAUUGACGCUGAGGCACGAAAGCGUGGGGAGCAAACAGG